rnacentral:rRNA from 1 species
CUACGGGUCGCUGCAGUGGGGAAUAUUGCACAAUGGGGGAAACCCUGAUGCAGCAACGCCGCGUGGAGGAUGACGCAUUUCGGUGUGUAAACUCCUUUUAUAUAGAAAGAACAUGACGGUACUAUAUGAAUAAGUACCGGCUAACUCCGUGCCAGCAGCCGCGGUAAUACGGAGGGUGCAAGCGUUACUCGGAAUCACUGGGCGUAAAGGAUGCGUAGGCGGAUUAAUAAGUUGGGAGUGAAAUCCUAUGGCUCAACCAUAGAACUGCUUUCAAAACUGUUAGUCUAGAAUGUGGGAGAGGUAGAUGGAAUUAGUGGUGUAGGGGUAAAAUCCGUAGAGAUCACUAGGAAUACCGAUUGCGAAGGCGAUCUACUGGAACACUAUUGACGCUGAGGCAUGAAAGCGUGGGGAGCAAACAGGAUUAGAUACCCGCGUAGUC